CUCAUGUUUCAGUCACAGCAUGGCCAGGUUCCUCUGUCAUUCUGCCUUGUGAACUCUCACCUACCUUUGAUGCAAAACCAUUGAAGGUGUGCUGGUAUCGGCAUGAUAACUUCUUCACCUACAAACCUGCCUUGUUUUACAAAGACCACAAGACCCAGGAGGACUUUGUGGAUCCCCAUUACAGGGGCAGAGUGUCUCUAAUUGGGGAGCUGGAGAAGGGGAACUUGUCCCUGAGACUGGAGAGGGUCACCCCAGAGGACAGAGGGGAGUAUGUGUGUUGUGUCAGCAGUGAACAGUGUAUUGAUAAAGCCAGGGUGUUCCUCACAAUUAAUGGGUCGUGUCUAAAGAUGGUGAUUCUAGCUGUCCUCAAUAUUUCCAUCACAAAACAAAACUCUGAUGCCUUUUCUGUGUCAGCCCCUCAUGUUUCAGUCACAGCAUGGCCAGGUUCCUCUGUCAUUCUGCCUUGUGAACUCUCACCUACCUUUGAUGCAAAACCAUUGAAGGUGUGCUGGUAUCGGCAUGAUAACUUCUUCACCUACAAACCUGCCUUGUUUUACAAAGACCACAAGACCCAGGAGGACUUUGUGGAUCCCCAUUACAGGGGCAGUGUGUCUCUAAUUGGGGAGCUGGAGAAGGGGAACUUGUCCCUGAGACUGGAGAGGGUCACCCCAGAGGACAGAGGGGAGUAUGUGUGUUGUGUCAGCAGUGAACAGUGUAUUGAUAAAGCCAGGGUGUUCCUCACAAUUAAUGGUAAGUAGCUGGGGACAUUGACACUGAAAACAUGCUUUGUUUAAUCUCUUUGUGGUUGUCACUUGCCUUCAUACUCAACCCUUUCCCUGUCACUAGUAUUAGGUGAUAUCCCAUAUAGAUUCCCAUAUAGAUAUAGAUUCUAAAACUACAGGACUGUGAGUGUUCCAAGUUUCUCACGGUUUCUUCCUUUCCUCCAGAUUCUCAGGGUUUGGUGAGUGUCAAUAGUUGGCUGCUGUUUUCUCCCUCUGAAUCUGAUUGGCUCUCCUGUACUGUCUCUCUGUCUGAUGAGUGGAAGACAGAGGGCAGGAUUCUGCCAUCUUACUGUUAUGGGUUUCAACAGAAUUUCUGUGAUUUUAAUGCUAUAAUAUGUUGUAGCCGUGUGUCUUAUAAAAACAUUAGUGUCAUGUGACCCAUGUUUACUGUCUGCUUGCAGGAGAUUCCAAAGAAUGUUUCUCUGUGAAUCAGGUCCUGUUGGUUGUCCUGCCAGUAUUGUCUCUGGCCAUCAUCUUCAUGGUGAUGUGCUUCAUCAUGUUCAAACAAAAAGUUAAUAGUCAGGAAGGACGGAAGAUGGAAGAGACAAAAUGUUUAACAGAAGAUUUGCUCCUGGGUAAAAACGUAAAAGAGGAACACAUCACUACAGAUGCAAAGACUGCUUCUCCUGCCAUUAGAUUGACUCAUCAAGGAAAGAGGGUUCAGUAUGUCAAAGCAAAAGAUAAACCAGACCUUCAACAGUCUAUCCAUGUAUUGGGUAAUAAGGGGUUUGACUCAGGGCAACACUAUUGGAAAGUGAAGAUCAAAGAUCAUGACAAGGAAGAAAAACUAGCUUGGUAUUUAGGUGUGACCAGAGAAAAUGCACAAUGUCCUUUAACCCCCCAAAAUGGCUUCUGGAUUUUAUUUUAUGAAAAAGAAGUAGGCCUACAUGUUUAUGUUGACAGUGUAAAAACACCAACAAGACAAACAACAUCAACAACUGUGUGUGUGUUUCUAGACUGUGACAAACACACACUGUCUUUUUAUGAUGCUGAUUCUGGGUCCCUUCUCUACACUUUUAAUGAUGUGAAAACAACAGACACAUUGUAUCCUGUAUUCAGCCCUGGAAAAAGAGAUCCACAAGCAUUAAAAAUUAUUGACACCACUGAACUGAACAAGGAUGUGUCUUCAGCAUUUUAGCUUGAACUCUGUUGUAUAGGAUCAUGUGAAAAUCAAAGGUGUUACUAUACAGUUUGUGUUAUUAGUAUGGUCCAAGUGAUUCAGGGGACAAUCCUCUCCGAUGAGACAUGCAUUCCAGAAAUACAGCAGAGUUCUGUUUAAGACAAGGAUGUGUGGCUACAGAAAGUAAUCAACAGUUGGGUGUAGGUCAACUAGUUUGUUUUAUACAUUCCACAUUUUCAGACACCAAAAGUUAUUUAAUGUUUGUCUUUUUUCUACCUUUAUUCUUGUUUUAUUCAAACGAAAAUAUUUUCCCAGUUGUUAAAUUAUCUUAUCUGCUUAUAAAGCAUCAUUGUUGAGAUGUUGAAUAAAGUAAUAGUUUGUGUGAAACUGUGGACCAGAGGCUAAACUCCUGUAUCUAUGUGUUUUAUGUGGCUCCCAACAGAUACCAGUGUUUAAUUCCUGUCUUUACCCUUCACUCCAUGAAUCCCACAUUCAAUAAACAAGCC